rnacentral:rRNA from 1 species
AGGACGAACGCUGGCGGCGUGCUUAACACAUGCAAGUCGAGCGGAAAGGCCCUUCGGGGUACUCGAGCGGCGAACGGGUGAGUAACACGUGAGCAAUCUGCCCUUAGCUUCGGGAUAGCCCCGGGAAACCGGGAUUAAUACCGAAUACGACCUCGGCCGACAUCGGCCUUGGUGGAAAGUUUUUCGGCUAGGGAUGAACUCGCGGCCUAUCAGCUUGUUGGUGGGGUAAUAGCCUACCAAGGCGACGACGGGUAGCCGGCCUGAGAGGGCGACCGGCCACACUGGGACUGAGACACGGCCCAGACUCCUACGGGAGGCAGCAGUGGGGAAUAUUGCGCAAUGGGCGAAAGCCUGACGCAGCGACGCCGCGUGGGGGAUGAAGGCCUUCGGGUUGUAAACCCCUUUCAGCAGGGACGAAGCGAGAGUGACGGUACCUGCAGAAGAAGCGCCGGCUAACUACGUGCCAGCAGCCGC